GAGCUCAUUGAUCAUCAUAACAGAGUCUAUUGAAAGUCCUCAGCAGGCGGUGUGACGAUGUGACCAGCUCUGGCCAAGGAGCUGUAGGCAGAAGUGUCUUGCAGCAGCUCCUGUAAAUCUUAAAAGACAGCUGGUGCGUGUCUUUUUUCCUUUUUUUUUCCCUUCCCCCUUCCUGCUGCGCUGAAUAUGGAUAUGGUGAGUGAAUCUAGAGCAGCCAUUUGGAGGUAUGAAGAGAUCUUGGAAAUAGAGGCCAUGUGUGUUGAAACAAGACCGAACAACUCCAAGUUCCUGAAGACUUCAUUUCACCAACCCAGAACCUCCUUGAUCAUCACAGUGGUCGAACCAUUUUACAUUUUCACCAGCAAUGAAGGAGGGUUCCUGUUGCUCUACCAUUUGGUACUGUCAGCGUUUUGGAUAUUAGCCGUCCUAAUAGAAAAGAGUGAGUAACUAGUGGCCUUUAGAUGAGCCAACCGCAAGCCUGGACUCAUCUUUGACAUCUCCUGCUUCCCUCCAUAAUGACCGUCGUUGCUCCUCUUGCCCAAGCCUUUGCAUGGAUGAUUGUCUGUCCUCUGUUGGGCCCCUUCUGAAGAGUUGGAGUUGGUUGCAAACUAUAGAAACCAUUUGGGCUGGUUUGAGCAUAAAAGGAAAUUACUGGGAGUUAUUAGGUGCUCGGUGAUUCAUUGGGAGGUCUGGCAAAAAAGAAGCUCAAGGCUAAGCUCAUAGGAACACAGCCCGGCAUCUCACACAGAAGUGGCUUGAUGAGGAUUCUACUGCCUCCACAGCUCCUGCCAUCAUCUUCAUCUGCACCAUAGAUGCUCAGAACCCAGUCUGUGUCUGCAUGUUGCUGACUUCCAAAUGAGAGCUUCAUGAGAGUGUAUUUGGUUGGUAGAACAUAGGUCCCAGACCUUCUCCCUGGGAGCUGGAAGAGAUGCUGGGAAAUUCUGCCCUGGAAAAAUAAAACUCACAAUGUGGGAAACAAAGAAAAUGUACAGCAGGGGUUUAACAGAAUGACAGCUACAGUUUAGACUCCUGUGGUACAGUUGGCUUUCCCAGGCUCCCGGCGUCCAUGCUGUCUCGGCGCUAUCUCGCAGCCUGACGCCACGCGCCAUCUGCUGGCCUUGAGCUGCAUAGCUCUAGAGUAACUUCAGAGGCCACGGGGGAACAAAGAGCACUCGCCUACUUGACUGAGCUCCGACAGGCCGUCCCUCUGCUUCAGGUGUAGGCGUGAACAAGUCCAGACCACUACCUUAACAGCUUUAUACAAUUAUUCCCAAAUCUUCUAAACUGACAGUGAGGGAGAGUAAUUUGAAAGGACUGCUCAACUCAACGUCAUUUGAAGAUUUGCACCACAGCUGCAUUUUUCCAAUUUCCUGGCAUCUAUUCUGCUCUCCUGGACUUUUCAAAAACAAUUUCUUUCAGAUCCCUGGAGGCCUCUCCCAGGGCCUGUGGUGUGGAGAGUUGGACUUGACCCUACUGUAAGAGACCCAACUUCCAAAGACUGCAUCAGAUGAAAGGCUCUCCAUAUAGACUACAGACUUGUCAGCUGGUUAAGGAGGCAAACAGAACAGUCUGCUACAAACUCCAGUCCAUGUAUCUGUGCUGAAAAUAAAAGGAGUCUUCAGGAAUCAAAGAAGAAAAUAUUUUUAUAAAGAAAUUUUAUUGCAUAAUUCUUGUAUACAAUAAACAUAGGAAAAGGGUUUUUAAUGAAAAUUCAUGUCAUUUUUCA
rnacentral:lncRNA from 1 species